rnacentral:rRNA from 1 species
AUUGAACGCUGGCGGCAUGCCUUACACAUGCAAGUCGAACGGCAGCACGGGUGCUUGCACCUGGUGGCGAGUGGCGAACGGGUGAGUAAUACAUCGGAACAUGUCCUGUAGUGGGGGAUAGCCCGGCGAAAGCCGGAUUAAUACCGCAUACGAUCUACGGAUGAAAGCGGGGGACCUUGUGGCCUCGCGCUAUAGGGUUGGCCGAUGGCUGAUUAGCUAGUUGGUGGGGUAAAGGCCUACCAAGGCGACGAUCAGUAGCUGGUCUGAGAGGACGACCAGCCACACUGGGACUGAGACACGGCCCAGACUCCUACGGGAGGCAGCAGUGGGGAAUUUUGGACAAUGGGCGAAAGCCUGAUCCAGCAAUGCCGCGUGUGUGAAGAAGGCCUUCGGGUUGUAAAGCACUUUUGUCCGGAAAGAAAUCCUUGGCCCUAAUACGGUCGGGGGAUGACGGUACCGGAAGAAUAAGCACCGGCUAACUACGUG